CAGAGAGAGAGAAGAGGAAGCAGGCUCCCUGCUGAGCAGAGAGCCAUAUACAGGGCUUGAGUCCAGAACCCUGGGAUCAUGACCUGAGCCAAAGGCAGAAGCUUAACCCACUGAGCCACUGAGGCACCCCAGACCAUUCUUCAUUCAUUUAGAUGGAGAGGAAAAAAGAAUCACCAGCAGACUCUACUCUGAGCACCAACCAGGGACUCAGCCUCAGGACCCUGAGAUCAUGACCUGAGAUGAAACCAAGAGUCAGAUGCUUACCCGACUGAGCUACCCAGGUGCCCCACAAUAAAACAUCAUUAUUAAAAUAAAGUCAAUGUCAUUGUUUCUCAAAGGCCGUUUGAGGAACAGAUGAACAAAUUUUAAA